GCCCGGCCCCCCGCCCGUCUCCGGGUUCCCUGCCCGCGGGUGAAAGCUGGCCCCCCGCGGGCGUCCCCCGCACCCGGAUCGCGGCCGCUGCGGUGCGUUUCAACUCUGCACGGAUUUGCCAGGCCGGCUGGAUGCUCCGCCCGACGUGACUCCCAGCUCUGCAGGCGUUUCCGGAGCACCGACUGGACAGCCGGUGCUGAGUGGGUCCACCUUCGCGGUCACGGUCCCUGGUCCCGAGGAGCGCAUAACUCAGUGGAAGAGCAGCCGCUCAACAACGCCGUGUGCUGACCCGUGCAAAGCCGAGCGCGGGCAGGGGAGGAGGAGAUGGCUUCCGCUUGGAUCCAGGGGACGGGUUCCUGGAAGAGGAGGCAUUUGUGCUCAGCCCUGACGGGAGAAAAGGGAGGAGGCGUAGGAGACAAGGCCGAGGGCAUCAAAGGCUGGGGAAACAGCGUGGGCAGAGGAAGAGAGGGGGACCACGGUUCACCACCUCAGCAUCCACUUUUUUCUUGUAAUCGUAUCCAUUUUUCAUAGACUCCUUUCCAACCCAUGUGAAACAUAGAUUAUUCCACAUUAGGAACAGCGAAGCUUUUUUCAUGACUCAAAGAAUCUUUUUCUCAACGUUAUUUAAGGCUGAAAAAAAAGCAGUGUCCUUCGAGGGCUGUUGUAUGUGAAGGAUGUUACAUCCUAAGCGGAGAGACCCAAAGCCAGUGUGCUUUGCGCCUGGUUUUUCCCUGCUUUUUGGCACCUUAUGAUAAGGCAGAUCCUGCCACCUCCUGCUGCCUGCCUGCCUUCAGAACACCCUCUUCCUCCUCGUCCUCUUCCUAUUUUAAAACUCCUACCGCGAAGGAAAUGCUGGCAACCAACUGUAAGGGAGAGUAAACACCGCUCAGAGAAAGGUGUCACCUUUCACACAGGAACUUCGCGACCACAUUCCUGCUUGGGAGGCUUUUCCGCUUGUACGCUGGCCUUGACUGUGUUCUGAAUAUGUUAAGAUACUCAGAAUGCAGGUAAGAGACCUCUUGUGUAUUCAUUUACCAGCUUGGAGCACCCGUUGGAGGAGGCAUCGAAUGGGUCCUUUGGAGAAAAGAUGUCUAUUUGAUGUAAAAUAAAUAUGUAAACAUGACUUUAAAUAUUUAAA